AGCGAACGCUGGCGGCAGGCCUAACACAUGCCAGUCGAACGAAACUUUCGGGUUUAGUGGCGGACGGGUGAGUAACACGUGGGAACGUGCCUUUAGGCUCGGAAUAACUCAGGGAAACUUGUGCUAAUACCGAAUGUGCCCUUCGGGGGUAAGAUUUAUCGCCUUUAGAGCGGCCCGCGUCUGAUUAGCUGGUUGGUUGAGGUAAUGGCUCACCAAGGCGACUAUCAGUAGCUGGUCUGAGAGGAUGAUCAGCCACAUUGGGACUGAGACACGGCCCAAACGCCUGCGGGAGGCAGCAGAUGGGAAUCUUGCGCCAUGAGCGAAAGCCUGACGCAGCCAUGCCGCGUGAAUGAUGAAGGUCUUAGGAUUGUAAAAUUCUUUCACCGGGGACGAUAAUGACGGUACCCGGAGAAGAAGCCCCGGCUAACUUCGUG
rnacentral:rRNA from 1 species